GGGGCGGUGGCGCAGCUGGGAGCGCGUCAGACUGAAGCUAAACUUCAAUCUAUCAUCUGAAGGUCAUCGGUUCAAGCCCGGUCCACCCCA
rnacentral:tRNA from 1 species